AUUAGUGGCGAACGGGUGAGUAACACGUGAGUAACCUGCCCUUGACUCUGGGAUAAGCCUGGGAAACUGGGUCUAAUACCGGAUACGACCAUCUGACGCAUGUCAUGGUGGUGGAAAGCUUUUGUGGUUUUGGAUGGACUCGCGGCCUAUCAGCUUGUUGGUGGGGUAAUGGCCUACCAAGGCGACGACGGGUAGCCGGCCUGAGAGGGUGACCGGCCACACUGGGACUGAGACACGGCCCAGACUCCUACGGGAGGCAGCAGUGGGGAAUAUUGCACAAUGGGCGAAAGCCUGAUGCAGCGACGCCGCGUGAGGGAUGACGGCCUUCGGGUUGUAAACCUCUUUCAGUAGGGAAGAAGCGAAAGUGACGGUACCUGCAGAAGAAGCGCCGGCUAACUACGUGCCAGCAGCCGCGGUAAUACGUAGGGCGCAAGCGUUAUCCGGAAUUAUUGGGCGUAAAGAGCUCGUAGGCGGUUUGUCGCGUCUGCUGUGAAAGACCGGGGCUCAACUCCGGUUCUGCAGUGGGUACGGGCAGACUAGAGUGCAGUAGGGGAGACUGGAAUUCCUGGUGUAGCGGUGAAAUGCGCAGAUAUCAGGAGGAACACCGAUGGCGAAGGCAGGUCUCUGGGCUGUAACUGACGCUGAGGAGCGAAAGCAUGGGGAGCGAACAGGAUUAGAUACCCUGGUAGUCCAUGCCGUAAACGUUGGGCACUAGGUGUGGGGGACAUUCCACGUUUUCCGCGCCGUAGCUAACGCAUUAAGUGCCCCGCCUGGGGAGUACGGCCGCAAGGCUAAACUCAAAGGAAUUGACGGGGGCCCGCACAAGCGGCGGAGCAUGCGGAUUAAUUCGAUGCAACGCGAAGAACCUUACCAAGGCUUGACAUGAACCGGAAAGACCUGGAAACAGGUGCCCCGCUUGCGGUCGGUUUACAGGUGGUGCAUGGUUGUCGUCAGCUCGUGUCGUGAGAUGUUGGGUUAAGUCCCGCAACGAGCGCAACCCUCGUUCUAUGUUGCCAGCGCGUUAUGGCGGGGACUCAUAGGAGACUGCCGGGGUCAACUCGGAGGAAGGUGGGGACGACGUCAAAUCAUCAUGCCCCUUAUGUCUUGGGCUUCACGCAUGCUACAAUGGCCGGUACAAAGGGUUGCGAUACUGUGAGGUGGAGCUAAUCCCAAAAAGCCGGUCUCAGUUCGGAUUGGGGUCUGCAACUCGACCCCAUGAAGUCGGAGUCGCUAGUAAUCGCAGAUCAGCAACGCUGCGGUGAAUACGUUCCCGGGCCUUGUACACACCGCCCGUCAAGUCACGAAAG
rnacentral:rRNA from 1 species